rnacentral:rRNA from 1 species
UCCUGGCUUAGGAUGAACGCUGGCGGCGUGCCUAACACAUGCAAGUCGAACGGAGUAAUUAAGCGGAAGUUUCGGAUGGAAGCAUAGUACUAGUGGCGGACGGGUGAGUAACGCGUGGGCAACCUGCCCUGUACCGGGGGAUAACACUUAGAAAUAGGUGCUAAUACCGCAUAAGCGCACAGCUUCGCAUGAAGGUGUGUGAAAAACUCCGGUGGUACAGGAUGGACCCGCGUCUGAUUAGCUAGUUGGUGGGGUAGAGGCCUACCAAGGCGACGAUCAGUAGCCGGCCUGAGAGGGUGACCGGCCACAUUGGGACUGAGACACGGCCCAAACUCCUACGGGAGGCAGCAGUGGGGAAUAUUGCACAAUGGGGGAAACCCUGAUGCCAGCGACGCCGCGUGAGUGAAGAAGUAUUUCGGUAUGUAAAGCUCUAUCAGCAGGGAAGAAAAUGACGGUACCUGACUAAGAAGCCCCGGCUAACUACGUGCCAGCCGCCGC